rnacentral:rRNA from 1 species
AACGAACGCUGGCGGCAUGCCUAACACAUGCAAGUCGAACGGGAUCCUGGUUUCGGCCAGGUGAGAGUGGCGGACGGGUGAGUAACACGUGGGAAUCUGCCUUUUGGUUCGGGAUAACCGCGGGAAACUGCGGCUAAUACCGAAUGCCCUCGCGAGAGGAAGGAUUUAUCGCCAGAAGAGGAGCCCGCGUCCGAUUAGGUAGUUGGUGGGGUAAUGGCCUACCAAGCCGACGAUCGGUAGCUGGUCUGAGAGGAUGAUCAGCCACACUGGGACUGAGAUACGGCCCAGACUCCUACGGGAGGCAGCAGUGGGGAAUAUUGGACAAUGGGGGCAACCCUGAUCCAGCAAUGCCGCGUGAGUGAUGAAGGCCCUAGGGUUGUAAAGCUCUUUUGCCAGGGAAGAUAAUGACAGUACCUGGAGAAUAAGCUCCGGCUAACUCCGUG